rnacentral:rRNA from 1 species
GACGAACGCUGGCGGCGUGCCUAAUACAUGCAAGUCGAACGCAGUGGGGACGGGUGAGUAACACGUGGGUAACCUCCCAUCAGAGGGGAUAAACCUUGGAAACAGGUGCAAAACCGAUAAUGAUGGCAGACACCGCGGUCCAUUAGCUAGUUGGGGAGGAAACGGCUCACAAAGGCCAAGAUGCAUAGGCGACCGGAGGGGGGGAUCGGCAACACUGGGACGGAGACAGGGCCCAGUCUCCUUCGGGAGGCAGCAGUAGGGAAUCUUAGGCAAUGGACGAAAGUCUGACCGAGAAACGCCGCGUGAGUGAAGAAGGCUUUCGGAUCGUAAAACUCUGUCGUUAGAGAAGCGGUAUCUAACCAGAAAGCCACGGCUAACUACGUGCCAGCCGCCGCGGUAAUUC